GAACCUUCGGGGAACGAUAACGGCGUCGAGCGGCGGACGGGUGAGUAAUGCCUAGGAAAUUGCCCUGGUGUGGGGGAUAACCAUUGGAAACGAUGGCUAAUACCGCAUAAUACCUACGGGUCAAAGAGGGGGACCUUCGGGCCUCUCGCGUCAGGAUAUGCCUAGGUGGGAUUAGCUAGUUGGUGAGGUAAUGGCUCACCAAGGCGACGAUCCCUAGCUGGUCUGAGAGGAUGAUCAGCCACACUGGAACUGAGACACGGUCCAGACUCCUACGGGAGGCAGCAGUGGGGAAUAUUGCACAAUGGGCGCAAGCCUGAUGCAGCCAUGCCGCGUGUGUGAAGAAGGCCUUCGGGUUGUAAAGCACUUUCAGUCGUGAGGAAGGUAGUGUAGUUAAUAGCUGCAUUAUUUGACGUUAGCGACAGAAGAAGCACCGGCUAACUCCGUGCCAGCAGCCGCGGUAAUACGGAGGGUGCGAGCGUUAAUCGGAAUUACUGGGCGUAAAGCGCAUGCAGGUGGUUUGUUAAGUCAGAUGUGAAAGCCCGGGGCUCAACCUCGGAAUAGCAUUUGAAACUGGCAGACUAGAGUACUGUAGAGGGGGGUAGAAUUUCAGGUGUAGCGGUGAAAUGCGUAGAGAUCUGAAGGAAUACCGGUGGCGAAGGCGGCCCCCUGGACAGAUACUGACACUCAGAUGCGAAAGCGUGGGGAGCAAACAGGAUUAGAUACCCUGGUAGUCCACGCCGUAAACGAUGUCUACUUGGAGGUUGUGGCCUUGAGCCGUGGCUUUCGGAGCUAACGCGUUAAGUAGACCGCCUGGGGAGUACGGUCGCAAGAUUAAAACUCAAAUGAAUUGACGGGGGCCCGCACAAGCGGUGGA
rnacentral:rRNA from 1 species